GACGAACGCUGGCGGCGUGCUUAACACAUGCAAGUCGAACGGAAAGGCCCUGCUUUUGUGGGGUGCUCGAGUGGCGAACGGGUGAGUAACACGUGAGUAACCUGCCCUUGACUUUGGGAUAACUUCAGGAAACUGGGGCUAAUACCGGAUAGGAGCUCCUGCUGCAUGGUGGGGGUUGGAAAGUUUCGGCGGUUGGGGAUGGACUCGCGGCUUAUCAGCUUGUUGGUGGGGUAGUGGCUUACCAAGGCUUUGACGGGUAGCCGGCCUGAGAGGGUGACCGGCCACAUUGGGACUGAGAUACGGCCAAGACUCCUACGGGAGGCAGCAGUGGGGAAUAUUGCACAAUGGGCGGAAGCCCGAUGCAGCAACGCCGCGUGCGGGAUGACGGCCUUCGGGUUGUAAACCGCUUUCGCCUGUGACGAAGCGUGAGUGACGGUAAUGGGUAAAGAAGCACCGGCUAACUACGUG
rnacentral:rRNA from 1 species